CGGCGGACGGGUGAGUAAUGCCUAGGAAUCUGCCUGGUAGUGGGGGAUAACGUUCGGAAACGGACGCUAAUACCGCAUACGUCCUACGGGAGAAAGCAGGGGACCUUCGGGCCUUGCGCCAUCAGAUGAGCCUAGGUCGGAUUAGCUAGUUGGUGGGGUAAUGGCUCACCAAGGCGACGAUCCGUAACUGGUCUGAGAGGAUGAUCAGUCACACUGGAACUGAGACACGGUCCAGACUCCUACGGGAGGCAGCAGUGGGGAAUAUUGGACAAUGGGCGAAAGCCUGAUCCAGCCAUGCCGCGUGUGUGAAGAAGGUCUUCGGAUUGUAAAGCACUUUAAGUUGGGAGGAAGGGCAGUUACCUAAUACGUAAUUGUUUUGACGUUACCGACAGAAUAAGCACCGGCUAACUCUGUGCCAGCAGCCGCGGUAAUACAGAGGGUGCAAGCGUUAAUCGGAAUUACUGGGCGUAAAGCGCGCGUAGGUGGUUUGUUAAGUUGGAUGUGAAAUCCCCGGGCUCAACCUGGGAACUGCAUUCAAAACUGACUGACUAGAGUAUGGUAGAGGGUGGUGGAAUUUCCUGUGUAGCGGUGAAAUGCGUAAAUAUAGGAAGGGAACACCAGUGGCGAAGGCGACCACCCUGGACUAAUACUGACACUGAGG
rnacentral:rRNA from 1 species